rnacentral:rRNA from 1 species
GACGAACGCUGGCGGCGUGCUUAACACAUGCAAGUCGAACGGUAAGGCCCUUCGGGGUACACGAGUGGCGAACGGGUGAGUAACACGUGGGUGAUCUGCCCUGCACUUCGGGAUAAGCCUGGGAAACUGGGUCUAAUACCGGAUAGGACCCUGGGAUGCAUGUCCUGGGGAGGAAAGCUUUUGCGGUGUGGGAUGGGCCCGCGGCCUAUCAGCGUGUUGGUGGGGUGAUGGCCUACCAAGGCGACGACGGGUAGCCGGCCUGAGAGGGUGACCGGCCACACUGGGACUGAGAUACUGCCCAGACUCCUACGGGAGGCAGCAGUGGGGAAUAUUGCACAAUGGGCGCAAGCCUGAUGCAGCGACGCCGCGUGAGGGAUGACGGCCUUCGGGUUGUAAACCUCUUUCAGCACCGACGAAGCGCAAGUGACGGUAGGUGCAGAAGAAGGACCGGCCAACUACGUGCCAGCCGCCGCAGUAA